rnacentral:rRNA from 1 species
GAUGAACGCUGGCGGCGUGCCUAAUACAUGCAAGUCGAGCGAACAGACGAUAAGCGUGCUCCUCUGACGUUGGCGGCGGACGGGUGGGUAACACGUGGAUAACCUACCUCUAAUACGGGGAGAACUUCGGAAAACCGCAUAUGAUACUAGAUAAUAUGUUCAACGGCAUGGUGCAAUAGUUAUUGGCGGCUUUGCUGUCUCAUAUAGCUGGUGCCGCGCCGGAUUAGCUAGUUGGUAAGGUAACGGCUUACCAAGGCAACGAUGCGUAGCCGAUCUGAGAGGGUGAUCGGCCACACUGGAACUGAGACACGGUCCAGACUCCUACGGGAGGCAGCAGUAGGGAAUAUUGGGCAAUGGGCGCAAGCCUGAUGGAGCCACGCCGCGUGAGUGAUGAAGGUCUUCGGAUCGUAAAGCUCUGUUAUUAGGGAAGAAAAACUGUGUAAGUAAAUCUCCAUGUUUUGACGGUACCCAAAGAGAAAGCACCGGCUAACUACGUG